ensembl:lncRNA
AUUAAUUUAAAAAAAGAUAGAGACGCAGACACCAAGACAAUAUUAGAAACAUCAAAGAUUUAUGUAGGAUAUACCUAUAAGAGAUAAAGGGUUGAGGAACAGAGAAAGGCUUCAGAGUGCAAUGUGGCUCUAAACCUAAGAGGGAGCAGGAAAGGAAACGAGGCUCAGGACACAGUUCAGGCCUGAAAAAGUCAGGCCAGAAGGGAGCCCCAGGGCAAAGACAACUGUUGGGAGAGUCUUGUGUGGGCAGGAACAGCUCAGCCCUGGUCCCUCUGUCAGGCUCAGUCACUGGCUGUGAGCAGCCCAGGGAAAGCGUCUGGAGAUGUCUGCUAACUAGGCUUCUCAUAGCAGGUCAGCGUUUGGAAGGAGACCGAUGCGACACCUGGCUGCUGUGUAAAGGACUGUCACUCAGUCCUUCUUCACUUGUCAGUUUCUGGGACAUACAACAAGUGGCAUCGCAGCGAAGGGGAAGCACACUAUGGGGGAAGAACACAGUCUCUGAAGGCUGAGAGCCAUUCACUUUGCACAAGAUGUUUCCUUCACUGAGCUUUGAAUGGGUCUUAUGAAGAAUAUUUUCAAGUGGUGCCUGCAUUUUGACUUUACAAGGCCAUCAUUACUGACUUUACAAGAGCUUCUGUGGAUAUAUGUUGCCCUAUCACCAACUUUGCUGGCGAUUUAAAUUCAGCACUAAAUUGGCUCCAAGAAUGUUAACCAACGAAUUUGGAUAGCACAGUUUCUGACAUCUUAUCUAGGGGAAAUCUCAGCUGUUCCCUUGCAGAAAUAAGUUUGGAGCAGGGCUGCAAUGCAACCUGAAUUACAGGGCAGAUGAACCAGCUACAAAUGGACAUUCUACCACCACAUGUUCCGUUCCAGAGAAGGAUGCAAUCAGUUCAAGCUGUUUUUGACUGAUGGUUCAGAUCAUGGUCUUGUAAACAGGUCUGAAAAUAGCUGCUUUUUAAAGACUGAAAAUUCCUGUAAUUAGGGUAUGCCUUAAAAAUUAACCCUAAAAAAAAAAUAAAGAUUGGAGGAUGGAGUAGCUUUCAGUCUUGAAUUGCUAGCUGGAUGGCUGCAGCACUGUUCUUAAAAGAGGAGGAAGCAGGUCAUUAGAAGGGAUGUGUCUAAAAGCUAUGUGUCAGAAAAGAAAGGAAAAUGGAGUUUCCUUGGUGCUGGAGAACUGUGUAAUUAACUGGGAUAACAAGCACUGAUAUUUAUUGUGGUGGGAUGCAAGGAAGAAGCUGAAAAACAACACUCCUGGUGUCUCUGCUCCACAUCUGCCAAACUAAUUUGGGGGUAAUUUUAUCAUUUUAAUCUGUGUGAUGUUCUUCCCCAGUUGCUAAAGUACCCUGGUGUAUACCAGAUGUCAAACAUUUAAUGAUGUCUCCGAGGCUCAGGAUGGAUUGGAUUGCAGGUGUUUAAUGCUUACCAGGCCUUUAGAUAAACCCAGAAAUUGGUGUUUCCUGGUUAGCUCUGAUUGACAAUACUUCGAUCCUUUAGUAAAUGUUAAUGGCCAUUCUGGCCACUAGGAGGAGCUAGAGGCUAUUCCAUCCACUUUGCUUUGUAUCACCUAAGACUGGUGCAGAUGUAAAAGGCUUCGUUCAGGUACUUGGGAUGUAAGGAGUUAGUACAAUGAAAGAUGGAAUUAAAACUCCCAGCCAAUAGAGAUAUGGCUUGAAAUACAGUAAAGUGACUAAGAGUACAUAGUUCCCNNNNNNNNNNNNNNNNNNNNNNNNNNNNNNNNNNNNNNNNNNNNNNNNNNNNNNNNNNNNNNNNNNNNNNNNNNNNNNNNNNNNNNNNNNNNNNNNNNNGAAAUACAGUAAAGUGACUAAGAGUACAUAGUUCCCAGAGGCUAGGAUUUAAGUCUUGGCAAAACAUUAACAAAACUCUGAGUCUCGAUGUCUUCAACUUUAGUGUAAGGAUAAUAUUAGCAUCUAUCUCUUAGAUUCAUUGUGAGAAAAAAUUAAAAUUAUCCAAAUGAAGAAUUUAGCUUAGUGUCUGGUACAACCUAAAUGCUGUGCCAUAAAUGUUAUUUAGUUUUGAUAUUAUUAUCUGAUUGUGGAGCUUGGCUUCCAGCUAAGGUGAAUGAUGACUUAGGUUACCUAUGCUAUAGUUCCCUUUCUAGAAGUAGUUUACCUGGAUAUUUGAAACACUAAGUCUAGAGUCAUACAGACUUGGAUUCGAGUCCUGGUUUAGACAUUCAAUAAGUCUGUGACCUUGGGAAGUUUAUUUAACUUUGUUAAACCUCUGUUUAAUGAUCUUUAUCUUUUCCUGCUUUAUUGAGAUACAACUGACACAUAAAACCAGGUAAAUUUAAGGUACAACAUGACAAUU